UACGUAGGGGGCAAGCGUUGUCCGGAAUUAUUGGGCGUAAAGAGCGUGUAGGCGGUCCGGUAAGUCAGCUGUGAAAGUCAAGGGCUCAACCCUUGAAAGCCGGUUGAUACUGUCGGGCUAGAGUCCGGAAGAGGCGAGUGGAAUUCCCGGUGUAGCGGUGAAAUGCGCAGAUAUCAGGAGGAACACCGGUGGCGAAGGCGGGUCUCUGGGCAACAACUGACGCUGAGGAGCGAAAGCGUGGGGAGCGAACAGG
rnacentral:rRNA from 1 species